rnacentral:rRNA from 1 species
GAUGAACGCUGGCGGCGUGCCUAAUACAUGCAAGUCGAGCGAACGGACGAGAAGCUUGCUUCUCUGAUGUUAGCGGCGGACGGGUGAGUAACACGUGGAUAACCUACCUAUAAGACUGGGAUAACUUCGGGAAACCGGAGCUAAUACCGGAUAAUAUUUUGAUCCGCAUGGUUCAAAAGUGAAAGACGGUCUUGCUGUCACUUAUAGAUGGAUCCGCGCUGCAUUAGCUAGUUGGUAAGGUAACGGCUUACCAAGGCAACGAUGCAUAGCCGACCUGAGAGGGUGAUCGGCCACACUGGAACUGAGGCGCGGUCAAGACUCCUACGGGAGGCAGCAGUAGGGAAUCUUCCGCAAUGGGCGAAAGCCUGACGGAGCAACGCCGCGUGAGUGAUGAAGAUCUUCGGAUCGUAAAACUCUGUUAUUAGGGAAGAACAUAUGUGUAAGUAACUGUGCACAUCUUGACGGUACCUAAUCAGAAAGCCACGGCUAACUACGUG